rnacentral:rRNA from 1 species
CAGCCGCCGCGGUAAUGCGUAGGGUGCGAGCGUUAAUCGGAACUACUGGGCGUAAAGCGUGCGCAGGCGGUUGUGUAAGACAGGUGUGAAAUCCCCGGGCUUAACCUGGGAACUGCGCUUGUGACUGCACAGCUAGAGUAUGGCAGAGGGGGGUGGAAUUCCACGUGUAGCAGUGAAAUGCGUAGAGAUGUGGAGGAACACCGAUGGCGAAGGCAGCCCCCUGGGCCAAUACUGACGCUCAUGCACGAAAGCGUGGGGAGCAAACAGGAUUAGAUACCCGAGUAGUCCCUGUCUCUUAUAC